rnacentral:rRNA from 1 species
AAACUGAAGAGUUUGAUCAUGGCUCAGAUUGAACGCUGGCGGCAGGCUUAACACAUGCAAGUCGAGCGGUAACAGGGGUAGCUUGCUACCCG